CGCGGUAAUACGUAGGGGUGCGAGCGUUAAUCGGAAUUACUGGGCGUAAAGCGUGCGCAGGCGGCUUUAUAAAGCCAGAUGUGAAAUCCCCCGGGCUUAACCUGGGAACUGCAUUUGGAACUGUAAGGCUAGAGUGUAGCAGAGGGGGGUAGAAUUCCACGUGUAGCAGUGAAAUGCGUAGAUAUGUGGAGGAAUACCGAUGGCGAAGGCAGCCCCCUGGGCUAACACUGACGCUCAUGCACGAAAGCGUGGGGAGCAAACAGGAUUAGAUACCCCGGUAGUCCACGCCCUAAACGAUGUCAACUAGGUGUUGGGGAAGGAGACUUCUUUAGUACCGCAGCUAACGCGUGAAGUUGACCGCCUGGGGAGUACAGUCGCAAGAUUAAAACUCAAAGGAAUUGACGGGGACCCGCACAAGCGGUGGAUUAUGUGGAUUAAUUCGAUGCAACGCGAAAAACCUUACCUACCCUUGACAUGCCAGGAACUUUCCAGAGAUGGAUUGGUGCCCGAAAGGGAACCUGGACACAGGUGCUGCAUGGCUGUCGUCAGCUCGUGUCGUGAGAUGUUGGGUUAAGUCCCGCAACGAGCGCAACCCUUAUCAUUAAUUGCCAUCAUUCAGUUGGGCACUUUAAUGAGACUGCCGGUGAUAAACCGGAGGAAGGUGGGGAUGACGUCAAGUCCUCAUGGCCCUUAUGGGUAGGGCUUCACACGUAAUACAAUGGUCGGUACAGAGGGUUGCCAACCCGCGAGGGGGAGCCAAUCCCAGAAAGCCGAUCGUAGUCCGGAUCGUAGCCUGCAACUCGACUACGUGAAGUCGGAAUCGCUAGUAAUCGCGGAUCAGCAUGUCGCGGUGAAUACGUUCCCGGGUCUUGUACACACCGCCCGCCACACCAUGGGAGUGGAAUCUGGCAGAAGU
rnacentral:rRNA from 1 species